rnacentral:rRNA from 1 species
AACGAACGCUGGCGGCAUGCCUAACACAUGCAAGUCGAACGAGACCUUCGGGUCUAGUGGCGCACGGGUGCGUAACGCGUGGGAACCUGCCCUUAGGUUCGGAAUACCUCCCCGAAAGGGGUGCUAAUACCGGUUAAUGUCUUCGGACCAAAGAUGUAUCGCCUUUGGGUGGGCCCGCGUUGGAUUCGCUAGUUGGUAGGGUAAAAGCCUACCAAGGCGACGAUGCAUAGCUGGUCUGAGAGGAUGAUCGGCUACAAUGGGAAUGAGACACGGCCCAGACUCCUACGGAAGGCAGCAGUGGGGAAUAUUGGAGGAGGGGGGAAAGUCUGAUCAAGCAAUGCCGCGUGAGUGAUGAAGGCCGUAGGGUUGUAAAGCUCUUUUACCCGGGAUGAUAAUGACAGUACCGGGAGAAUAAGCACCGGCUAACUCCGUG